ensembl:lncRNA
CGUUGUUUGUAUAUAUUGUGAUCUUGCUAAACUGACCUAUUAGUCUUAUUUGCUUUUUUGAAGAUUCUUUAAGAUUUUCUCCUUAAAUUAGCGUUGAUAUCUGCAGAGAGACUGUGUGUGGUUUUAUUUCUUCCUUUCUAAGUGGUAUGGCUUUUAUUUCUUUUUCUUGCUUUCUCUAACUGGCUAUGUUCUACAUUUCAACGUCAACCACAAAUGGUAAGAGCAGACACAUCUCUGCCUUGUAGCUGAUUUUAGGGGGAAAACAUUUAAUCUUUCUUCUUGUCCUUUUUCUUCUUUACUUGGGAGGGGGUACAAAAACUUUACUGUUUCCACCUGGUCCAGGCCUGGGCGAGGGCUCCGCGGUGGUCAAAAACCUGCCUAGGGGCCGCAGGGAGAGCCUCAGCCAGAGGCCCUGACACCAGGGCCGGGGUGCCGGAGGGGCCCCUCAAAGCCUGCCGGGCUCCGGAGGCUCCUCGUGGUGCCGGAGGCUGGGCGCUUGGCAGCGGUGCCCGCCCAGCCCGGCCCGGGGCCGCCGGCCUCCCAGGUGAGUCAGGUGGUCUCCAUCUUCUGGAUGAGCUUCACCUGCUGACCCCGCGGCCGUUCUGCAGGAGGCCCCGGAGAUGGGCGCCUGCGCGGUCGGAACCGGGCGCGCAGAUAAAGGGCCGGGUUCAGGGUCCGCUCCAGGUCCCUGGUGGUUUGCGUGGCGUCCAGGGCUUCCCCCCGCUCUUCUUGGGACGGCUUGUGCCUCUGCUCGUCCCGGAAGAGGCCGGCCGCCGCCGUGGCUCUGCCUGUUCAGGAGAGGCCUUCUGGCUUCACCUCCACCGGCUCUCGAGAAGCGGGCCGCGCUCCGGAGCCACCUCCUGGCGGCGGAAAGAGGAGCGGGAGAGAGAUCCUUUGAACUCUUUCAAGCUAUGUUUCGAGACUUUCUGGGCUUUGACGGGGCUGGGCAUUCACUGUAAAAGCAGUCAAUGCCUCAGUGAGACCACAAGCAAAACUGUGAGUGUCUUAAGCAGGGACCACACAACUCUUGUGAGUAUUUGCAUAUUUUAGCAACUCUGUUGAGUGUGAAUCUCAAAGCCGAGAAUGCUGCUCAUUAAUUUCCUUCAUUAAAUAUCUUGGGCCAUCUACUUUUCUGAACAGACAUUACCUGUGUUGGAUCCCUUGGAGCUGAUUGUGUGGGUGCGGGUGUGUGCGCACGCUGGCUGGAAUAUAGGUGUGUAUAUGUGACAGCGUGCUUGUGUAUCAGAGUCCUGGCUUGAUGUUAUCAUUAGAGAAUAUGUUUACACUGCAGUGUGAGAUUCUAGAAUCAAGUGCUGAUUCAGACACACAAGUAUAUACCCUGAAGUAGCCAACUGUGGGCUCAAAGAGAGCCAGGCUAAAGCUGGACUGCCCAGUUCAUUUUCCAGUUCAGUAGCUGUAGUAAUCCAACUUCGCCAGCUGCUAACAAGAUUGGGUCUGAAGUUUACCUCCACAAUGAGAUAAUCAGAUUACCAGCCACAAAGAUCAAAUAAUGACCCAGCUUUCGAGCAAGUUCAGCAGGCCCUUGAUAACACUGUGUGGUCCUUGAGGCUUGAUUAAAAAAUUAAAUGGCUAAACUUUGCCUCAAUAUUUUGCAUUGGGAUUUUGAGUGACUUGAUGAUUCUUUUCAUGGUGCACUUUCCUAUUCUUCUGUAGGUUUGAAAUUAAGAGGUAGGAGAAAAGGAGGAUGCUCCCGCUGUGCAGUUGUUCUUGAGCUGGGCUUUAAAUGAAGCAUGUAGAAUUUUUAAUUUGGUGGCGUAGGGAAGACCAGGCAAACUCAAAAUCACUCGUGAGCAAGGAGCUGGCCUGUAACAAACUAACAACCGUUGCCUGUGCUCCACGCUGUCUCCCAGUCCUGUGCUUCUGGACCAGAAUGGAUUUGGUCUUUCGCUCCCAGGCCAAAAAUGUUUGAAAGUUUUGGUUUUGGCUACUAUAUGAUAGCUGUUUUCAGUAGUAAAGGGAUUAUUCUGAGAGGCAUACAAAUGUGAUUGUCUCACAGCAGAUGGUGCGCACUGCUUCACCUUUGAGAAAA